rnacentral:rRNA from 1 species
GCGAUAGUAGUGUGAAUUGCAGAAUUCCGUGAACCAUCGAAUCUUUGAACGCACAUUGCGCCUCCUGGUAGUCCGGGAGGCAUGCCUGUCCGAGCGUCACUAAAUCAACUCAAGCUGGUCGUGGAGGAAGAGUCCGUCCUGUUGCGGUCUCCCCUCUGAAAAUCAACGGCGGAGAGUCACAGGGAUUCGGUGUAGUAGUUUCAUUCAUCGAUCUUCCAGUGUCGUUCCUGCCAGCAAACCCCCAAGAUUCUCUUGAUUGACCUCGGAUCAGGUAGGGAAUACCCGCUGAACUUAAACCAUNUCAAUAAAGGCGGGANGNAGGGGGGG